GGGAAGGUGGCUUAGUGGUAGAGCGCUUGCCUUGCAUGCCUGAGGCCCUGGGUUC
rnacentral:tRNA from 1 species